AGGGGCUAUGGAGACGAGUUAGACUGUGAGAUCUGUAAGAUAUGAAAUGUGGUUUACAAUAUAGAGAGAGAGGUAACACCUACAAGACAGACCUGCUUGAAAUUAUUGAGGCAUGACACUGCAGCUGUUUAUCUUAAUAGACGAAGUAGUGUUCAUCAAAUACAUAAUAUACAUUUGUAAUGGCAAAAAAAAAACUUUAGAUUAGGGUCAAAUAAUAAACAACAAGUUAUUCAUAUAUUUCAUAUAUACGAUAAGCAAAAGCUUUCCAUAUAAUGAUAUGACAGAAAUAAGUAUAUUGGAAUACACACUGAAAAAAAAUAAAUUUGUUACGUUAACAAGGUUAUGCAAAGCUAGUUGAAAUCCUCAGUUUUAAUACAAUAUGUUUUUUGAUGACUAGACAUGAUUAAAAAAUAUCGUAUAACAUAAACGAAAGUACAUCACAAUUUGAUCAAUAUUCUGUUGUGACUUUUGAACAAAUGUAGUAUCUUAUGGGGUCAUUUAAAUCUAUUUGUGUAUCAAUUUUUUUUCAAACCUUUAUAUUCCUGUAGCUCAAUGGACUUAAACGGCCCUAGUCGGUUAUCAGUGUUUUCCUUGCAUUGUAUGUAAAUAAUUUGAAAUGUAAAACUUGAUAUAAUUAAUAAUUAAAAUAAACGUGAUUUAUUUUGA